GUGGCUCGGAACUGCAGCCCAAGAACAAGCGCAUGACAAUAAGCAGAUUGGUCUUGGAGGAGGACAGCCAGAGUACUGAGCCCAGCGCAGGCCUCAACUCCUCCCAGGAGGCCGCUUCAGCGCCACCAUCCAAGCCCACCGUUCUCAACCAACCCCUCCCUGGAGAGAAGAAUCCCAAAGUACCCAAAGGCAAGUGGAACAGCUCUAAUGGGGUUGAAGAAAAGGAGACUUGGGUGGAAGAGGAUGAACUGUUUCAAGUUCAGGGUAAGCAGAAGAUUCUCCUUGGCCUCUUCUUGAUGCUUGCUGAAGUACAGAU
rnacentral:lncRNA from 1 species